rnacentral:rRNA from 1 species
UACGGAGGAUCCGAGCGUUAUCCGGAUUUACUGGGUGUAAAGGGAGCGCAGACGGAACUGCAAGUCUGAUGUGAAAGCCCGGGGCUCAACCGGGGACUGCAUCGGAUACUGUGGAUCUGGAGUGCCGGAGGGGCAAGCGGAAUUCCUGGUGUAGCGGUGAAAUGCGUAGAUAUCAGGAGGAACACAGGGGCGAAGGCGGCUUGCUGGACGGCAACUGACGUUGAGGCUCGAAAGCGUGGGGAGCAAACAGGAUUA